rnacentral:rRNA from 1 species
AUGAUCAUGCGUCCCGACGUGUUCCGCGUGUUCGCCAAGGCGUUCGACGCCGCCAUUACCAGAAAUGGCGUGCAGGGGGAAGAAGAAUCCGACGAGCACGGUGAAGCGGGUGGUGCCGGCGCCGAAGCCGUUCGAGCUGUGCUACAAGGGCGGGUUCCCAAUGCUGAAGCGGCCGGUGGGGCCCGGAGGCAUGCUGGUGGAGGGCGAGCCGGCGGUGGUGGUCGGCGGGAAGCAGCUGGAGAACAACCUGCUGGUGUUCGACCUGGAGAAACAGGUGCUCGGGUUCAGCGUGCCGCUCGACUUCCGCAUGUCCAGUUGCAGAAGCACCAGUUUCUUCGGAAACUAAACAUUGCAGUCACUUCAAUUUCAGAACAGAACUUUCACUGUGCAAUUUGUAUGUUUAUCUUUUCUACUUUUCGGGCUAAUAAUUGGACCGUAUGUAUGUGCAAUUUGUGUGUCCAUCUGGUUUGUUUUUGUGUUAUUAGUUACAAACUCACUACCGAUUGGUGUGUUUGUUCCACUUCCUCUGUUGUAUAUGCAGGUGGAGAGAAAAAAUGA